CGAGAAAUAGUUUAAUUGUUAGAAUGUUGGCAUUGGAAGCCAGGGGUUGGGCGGGAGUGAUUUAAGUCCAUUUCUUGA
rnacentral:tRNA from 1 species